CCUACGGGUGGCAGCAGUGAGGAAUAUUGGUCAAUGGACGCAAGUCUGAACCAGCCAUGCCGCGUGCAGGAAGACGGCUCUAUGAGUUGUAAACUGCUUUUGUACGAGGGUAAACGCAGACACGUGUAUCCGUCUGAAAGUAUCGUACGAAUAAGGAUCGGCUAACUCCGUGCCAGCAGCCGCGGGAAUACCGAGGAUUCAAGCGUUAUCCGGAUUUAUUGGGUUUAAAGGGUGCGUAGGCGGUCGGAUAAGUUAGAGGGGAAAUCCCGGGGCUCAACUUCGGAAUUGCCGCUGAUACUGUUCGGCUAGAGAGUAGUUGCGGUAGGCGGAAUGUAUGGUGUAGCGGUGAAAUGCUUAGAGAUCAUACAGAACACCGAUUGCGAAGGCAGCUUACCAAGCUACUUCUGACGUUGAGGCACGAAAGCGUGGGGAGCAAACAGGAUUAGAUACCCCAGUAGUC
rnacentral:rRNA from 1 species